ACUCACUUAGCUCAGAAUUUAGAGCAUCAAAUUUGUAAUGCAAUGAUCAUCUGUUAAACUCCGAUAGCAGGUU
rnacentral:tRNA from 1 species